AGAAUCAACGCUGGCGGCGUGCCUAACACAUGCAAGUCGAACGAGAAAGGGUAGCAAUACCUGAGUAAAGUGGCGCACGGGUGAGUAACACGUGACUAACCUACCUUUUAGUGGGGGAUAACCUAGGGAAACCUGGGCUAAUACCGCAUAAUACUUACGAGUCAAAGCAGCAAUGCGCUGAAAGAGGGGGUCGCGGUCGAUUAGUUAGUUGGCAGGGUAAUGGCCUACCAAGACUGUGAUCGAUAUCCGGCCUGAGAGGGCGCACGGACACACUGGAACUGAAACACGGUCCAGACUCCUACGGGAGGCAGCAGUGGGGAAUUUGCGCAAUGGGGGAAACCCUGACGCAGCAACGCCGCGUGGAGGAUGAAGUCCCUUGGGACGUAAACUCCUUUCGAUCGGGACGAUAAUGACGGUACCGGAAGAAGAAGCCCGGCUAACUUCGCGCCAGCAGCCGC
rnacentral:rRNA from 1 species